AUUGUUACCCGGUUGAUCAUAUUCACUUCAAAUGCAGUGACAACAGCCUAAACACAUUGAUGAUGCAUCCCAGUGAAAAUGGUGACUUGUCAUCAAAGGGCGUGUCUGUGGCGGCCAAACCAAUUUCGAUGUUUCGCCAUGAAAAUUUAACGAUUCAUAUCUCAGCUGAACAACAUCCUAUCUGCCUCAGACUUCACAUGCUGGAUACCAGGUCCAGUCUGAACACAUCCACACUCAUAAAUUCUGAAAAAGUCAUAGCGCCACCUGUUGGUAAUAGUAAGUUUAAGGCCUUAUAUUUUCAGGUACAAUGGCCCCAAACUUGGUGAUAUCAUGCUGGAAAUUGGUCAGUCGAGUCUUCACCUCUUGACAAUCACACACUGUGAAGGGUGUGACAUUUCAUGCAACGCUGUUGCCGUAGCAACCAAAUAUCGCCAUGAAAAACAAAGCCCUUUCUGACAGGUUAGGAAUACUCCAAUGCUCACAAAAAUUACCACACACAUCACCAUUGACCCAAGGAACAACACUGUAUGCAUCUCGGCACUGCACAUGCUAUAGCGCCCCCUACAGUAUUUUUAACAAACAGCCCCCCCAGCACGUUUCACCUACAUCCAUGAAAUUUGGGAGGCUUAUAGAGCACAUCAGGACGCACAAAAAAGCCUCUUGGAGCCAUGUCCUAAACCCAACAGGAAGUCGGCCAUCUUGGAUUAAUUGUGAGAUUUUUGAUGAUUUUUCUCAUUUUUGAGAGUUAAUACCUCCUAGGGGAUAAUUCCAGGAGACCUGAAAUUUUGUCAGUCCACACAGCAGGACUUGGUUGGAAAAGUUAUCAAAAGUUUAACCAGAAGCCAAAUGGCGUGGCCAUGGCGACCAUUAGAGUUUUGAUGCUUCGCCAUGAAACAACAACUGCUGUAUAACUCUCCUCUGCAUGCUCCAAUCUGCCUCAAACUUUCCAUGUGUGAUCACAAUCCAAUCCUGAUCACAUCUACAGGCCAACAGACACUCUCAGUUGCAGCGCCACCUGUUGGAGGGACAAUAAAUGCUGUAUAACUGGCCUCUACAUGAUCAAAUCAGCCUGAAACUUUUCAUGAGUGAUCAGAGUCCAGCCCUCAUCACAUCCACUGUUUGAAAUACACUCUGAGUUACAGCGCCACCUGGUGGUGGAUGGGCAGGAAAUGCUGUAUAACUAGUCUGAACAUGCUCCAAUCUGGCUGAAAUUUUACGUGUGAUUAAACUCUGGUCCAGAUGUGAUUCAGAGGCCAGCACACACUCUCAGUCACAGUGCCACCUGGUGGACGUGCAUGGAUUCGCCGACCAGCGUGGAUGCGAGGACCCGUCCAUCGCUGCUUGCAGCUUUAAUUAUUAUUAUUAUUAUUUUUUUUUUCUCCCGUAAAGUAAAUUGGCUUUUUGGCGGCCUUAUCAUACUCCAAAACGCGUGAAAUUUGGCAUGCACAUCAGGACUGGCGAAAAAUUUGAUAUUUUAUGGGAGUUGCGCAUGUGCGUGGCAAAAUGGCUCUAUAGCGCCACCUGCAAACUUGAAAAAGUAGUCAUUAGGCCAACUGCCACAAUGUUUCAUGUACAGCUACAAUAUUUGGUGGGCAUAUGCAGAACAUCUGGACACACCAAAAAGUCAAUUACAGCCACGCCCUAAACCCAACAGGAAGUCGGCCAUCUUCAAUUUGCUGUAAAUUUUUCAAACUUAAUCGCUCCUCGGGAAAUGACUUGCCUUUUUGGCGGCCUUAUCAUGAACCAAAACGCGUGAAAUUUGGCGUGCACAUCAGGACUGGCGAAAAAUUUGAUAUUUUAUGGGAGUUGCGCAUAUGUGUGAAAAAAUGGCUCUAUAGCGCCACCUGCAAAAUUGAAAAGUGGUCAUUAGGCCAACUUCCACAAUGUUUUAUUUACAGCUACAAUAUUUGGUGGGCAUAUGCACCACAUCAGGACACACCAAAAAGUCAAUCACAGCCACACCCUAAACCCAACAGGAAGUCGGCCAUCUUGAAUUUGCUGUACAUUUGUCAAAAUUUAUAGCUCCUAGUGGAUAAGUCUGAGAGAACUGAAAUUUGGCCAGUACAUGCACCAGACCUUUCUGAUGAAAAGUUAUCAAAAACUCAACCAGAAGCCAAAAGGUGUGGCCAUGGCGGAGCCUCAAACAACUGAUCCUUCGCCAUGAAACAGGAAGUGGUGUCUAAUUCUUCUCAACAUGCUCCAAUCUGCCUGAAACUUUACAUGUAUGAUGACAGUCCUGUCCUGAUGUCAUCCACAUAGGGAUAUUCAUUGACAGUCAUAGCGCCACCUUGUGGUUUCAGGAAAUAGACAUCUUUUACACUUUCAUGCCCUAUUGUUACCCGGUUGAUCAUAUUCACUUCAAAUGCAGUGACAACAGCCUAAACACAUUGAUGAUGCAUCCCAGUGAAAAUGGUGACUUGUCAUCAAAGGGCGUGUCUGUGGCGGCCAAACCAAUUUCCAUGUUUCGCCAUGAAAAUUUAACGAUUCAUAUCUCAGCUGAACAACAUCCUAUCUGCCUCAGACUUCACAUGCUGGAUACCAGGUCCAGUCUGAACACAUCCACACUCAUAAAUUUUGAAAAAGUCAUAGCGCCACCUGUUGGUAAUAGUAAGUUUAAGGCCUUAUAUUUUCAGGUACAAUGGCCCCAAACUUGGUGAUAUCAUGCUGGAAAUUGGUCAGUCGAGUCUUCACCUCUUGACAAUCACACACUGUGAAGGGUGUGACAUUUCAUGCAACGCUGUUGCCGUAGCAACCAAAUAUCGCCAUGAAAAACAAAGCCCUUUCUGACAGGUUAGAAAUACUCCAAUGCUCACUAAAAUUACCACACACAUCACCAUCGACCCAAGGAACGACACUGUAUGCAUCUCGGCACUGCACAUGCUAUAGCGCCCCCUACAGUAUUUUUAACAAACAGCCCCCCCAGCACAUUUCACCUACAUCCAUGAAGUUUGGGAGGCUUAUAGAGCACAUCAGGACGCACAAAAAAGCCUCUUGGAGCCAUGUCCUAAA